AUACAAGUGUUCCGAAGUCAACGGGACGCACAGGUAUCCCGGACUAAAUCAAACAACAUUACUUGGAUCCAAGUGCAGUGUCCGCAACAGCGAAACAGUUACGAUUGCGGAUACUUUGUUUUGAGGUUUAUGAAAGAAAUCCUUCAGGCGAAUCAAUUAGAGAUUCCGCUCACGUACCUUGACGAAUUCCGUGCUGCUGGGUACCCGAAGCUUAAGUUGGAAGAAAUCAAAGAGGAUUUGUGUCAAUUUUAUAUUAAGCAAUUUUUCAUGUAGGAUUUGUGUCGAUUUGAACUAUAAUAUUAUUGAUGUUGUAAUGAUGUAUAUAUAUAAUUUUGGAUAU